GACGAACGCUGGCGGCGUGCUUAACACAUGCAAGUCGAACGGGUCUGCCCUGUUUUUUGCGGGGUGGGUCAGUGGCGAACGGGUGAGUAACACGUGAGUAACCUGCCCCUCACUUCUGGAUAACCGCUUGAAAGGGUGGCUAAUACGGGGUGUUCUGGCUGUGCCGCAUGGUUUGGCUGGGAAAGAUUCACUUUUGUGGUGUUUUGGUGGGGGAUGGGCUCGCGGCCUAUCAGUUUGGUGGGGGGGUGAUGGCCUGCGAAGGCUUUGACGGGUAGCCGGCCUGGGAGGGUGGGCGGUCACAGGGGGACUAAGAUACCGACAAGACUCCUGCAGGAGGCAGCGGUGGGGGGUAUUGAACGAGGGGCGGCAUGCUGAUGCAGCGCCGUCGCGUGAGGGAUGGAGGCCUUCGGGUUGUGAACCUCUUUCGCCGGUGAAGAAGGUCCUGCUCUUUGUGGUAGGGUUGACGGUAGCCGGGUUAUGAAGCGCCGGCUAACUACGUG
rnacentral:rRNA from 1 species